rnacentral:rRNA from 1 species
CUGCCCUUCAGUGGGGGACAACCAGCCGAAAGGUUGGCUAAUACCGCAUACGACUCCAGGCUGCAACGCCUGGAAUGAAAGAUUUAUCGCUGAAGGAUGAGCCUGCGUCUGAUUAGCUAGUUGGUGAGGUAACGGCUCACCAAGGCGACGAUCAGUAGCUGGUCUGAGAGGACGAUCAGCCACACUGGAACUGAGACACGGUCCAG